rnacentral:rRNA from 1 species
AAUUGCUAGUAAUGGCAGGUCAGCAUACUGCCGUGAAUACGUUCCCGGGCCUUUGUACACACCGCCCGUCACACCAUGAGAGUUGGGAAUACCCGAAGCCUGUGAGCUAACGUUAAGAGGCAGCAGUCGAAGGUAGAAUCAAUGAUUGGGGUGAAGUCGUAACAAGGUACC